rnacentral:lncRNA from 1 species
UGGGGGACUUUUGGGAUAGCAUUAGAAAUGUAAAUGACAUAAAUGCCUAUUAAAAAAACAAAAUAAAAAAAAAAGAAAAGAAAAGAGAAACUUCCUUCAUGAGGGGUGAGAACUGCACUUAUCCGUGAGUAUAAGAAGAAAUAUUUAAAUGUAGUUAGAGAUUUUGCUGGUAUAGUAAAGUGCCAGUUGUAAGUUCUCCUUCACAACCCAUAACUUUACUUGUGGGUAGUUGGCUAGGUUUCAAAUACCAGGCAUGUCUUCCCUUGUGUUGAGUGGGUUUUAAGUCCAGUUAGAAAGUUGUAGGUUACCAACAAUGUAUGUAUGGCAUUACUGCAUCCAUAGGGUUAUUCUUCCACGCUGAUUAUUUUUGUGGUGCAUAGGCAUCAGAGCUGGGUAUGAGGAGGACUGUUGUUUUCAGGUCAGUUUCUGCCUGGAAUUCUUGAAGUAGAAUCUGUAUGGUACCUCCUAGGAAUAUUUAGGAAUAUCUUGAAUAUCUGCCCCACUCUUUAAGGAGUAGAACUGGUAAUUCUCAUGUUUUCUACAGGCUGGCACUAGGGCUCUGGAAAAUGUAUUUAAUAUUAGACAGAUAUAUCAGUCAUCAAUUAAGAAAAUGCUCUACAGGCUUGCCUACAGCCAAGUCUUAUAGAGGCACAUCUCAAGUUGGAUUCCUUCCUCUCAGAUAUCUCUAGCCUCUGUCCAGUGACAUAAAAUUAGCCAGCAUAACCAUUGUCAAUGAAAAAGUGGAAUCUUAUGUUUCUGUAAGAGUUAUUUUAUUGUAUUUGUGGCUGUAAAGAUUGACUCCUGAGCCUUGCACAUGAUAGGUUAGUGUUUUACCUGAGAUAUGGCCUCAGAUGUCUGUGAUUUCAUGACAUUAGCCAAAACACCCAACAGUGGAGAGAUAGAACUUGAAGAGUCCACCUCUAGUAGAUAAAUAUGGCUCGUAGUAAAGGUAUGGGGUCUACCCAUACAUCUCAAAUUUUUUUUUUUAAGAUUUAUUUAUUGAUUAUAUAUGUAAGUACACUGUAGCUGUCUUCAGACACUCCAGAAGAGGGCAUCAGAUUUCAUUAUGGAUGGUUGUGAGCCACCAUGUGGUUGCUGGGAUUUGAACUCUGGACCUUCGGAAGAGCAGUCGGGUGCUCUUAUCCACUGAGCCAUCUCACCAGCCCCAUCUCAAAAUUUUUAAUUCAGAAUUUUUCCUGACUAAAGGAAAUACAGGAACAACAACAACAACAAAAAUAAAUGGAGCAGAGACUGAAGGAAAAGCCAUCCAGGGACUGUCCCACCUUAGGAUCCAUCCCAUCUGCAGAUAACCAAAUUCUGAUAACUAGUGCUGAUGUCAAGAAGUGCUUGCAGACAGGAGCCUCGUAGUCUCUGAGAGGAUCUGCCAGCACCUAACUAAGACAGAUGCAGAUACUCAGCCAAUCAUUGAAUUGAGCCUGGAGACCCCAAUGGAAAAGUUAGGAGAAGGACUGAAGGAACUGAAGGGGAUUUCAACACCAUAGGAAGAACAAUAUCAACUAACCAGACUCCAGGACCUAAACCACCAACCAAAGAGUAUACAUGGGUAUACUGUGGUCCUCCACUACAUAUGUAGCAGAGGACUGUCUGGCAUCAGUGGGAGGGGAGGUGCUUGAUCCUGUGGAGGCUUGUUGCUGGAGGAGUGAGCAGGGAGUAAGUAGGUGGGGGACCACCCUCUUAGAGCCAAAGGGGAGGGAAGUGGAGUGUUUGUAGAGGGGAGACCAGGAAGGGGGAUAUCAUUUGAAAUGUAAAUAAAUAAAAUAAUUUAAAAAAUUGUACUAUGGCCUUUAUUGUUUAUAAAAUAUAUAGAUCCAUUAUUUCUGGUCUUUAGUGGUCUUCUGCUAUCGGGCCACUGCAGAUUGCUCUAGCCUCACUCAUGACAGCCUCUUCUUUUCUCAUCCAACAGCAUGCUUAGUCCUUGCAUCCUUGGCAAACUCAGUGGCUCUUGGUCAUGGGACAAUGACAGUCUGUUUUGCACUCUUGUCUUCAGUCAUAUUUUUGUUUUGACUCAUCUUGUAAGUAGCAGCUUCCCAUGUGAGAUUCUGUUUUCUUGGAGAAUAGCUUCUAUCACUGAGUUUUUCCACUUCAGGGCUAUGUUGUAGAAAUUGUUUAUUGUUCUUAGUUGUAUGCCUUUUUGUUGCUAUACUAGACUUUUUUUAAGGGUAAGUACAAAAGUUACCUGCUUGAUGGAAUUUUGCAUUUCCAUUUUUAAUGUGAUCCAUGACACAGGCUGUCUAACAAAUAGCUAUUGAAUUAAAGAAUGGUUAUUCUCUC